rnacentral:misc_RNA from 1 species
CCAUCCGCAGGGCAAGCCAUUGUUUCUGAACACAGCUCAGUAGCAUUUCUAGGUAUAGUGGGCUUAAAUGUCAAAAGCUUUGCAUACUCAUUUAAGAGAUGAAACAUGUAGUCAUACACAUAGUCUAUCUUCAACUCUUCUUGAAUGAAUUCACUUGCUGCAUUUCCAAUUUCCUGGGCCUUCUGUCUGUGGCUGUUACCCCAGUCUACUGCAAACUUAAUAGACUUGCAUUUAUCGGCCUCCUUUACAGGCCAAUAGUGGUGAAUUGGCAUCAAACCUCUUGAAAAGAAAUCAUAAUAAUGGGGCUUCACAAUAAGGGUGACUGAAUCACAGGCAAGGAUAUACUUUUCACUGACUGACCAUGCAGACCCCUCAAUAUAGAUCUUAUACCU